rnacentral:rRNA from 1 species
CGGGGAAUCUUCCGCAAUGGACGAAAGUCUGACGGAGCAACGCCGCGUGAGUGAAGAAGGUUUUCGGAUCGUAAAACUCUGUCUUUUGGGGCGAACGUGAGUAUGGUGAACAAUCAUAGUCAGUGACGGUACCAAAGGAGGAAGCCACGGCUAACUACGUGCCAGCAGCCGCGGUAAUACGUAGGUGGCAAGCGUUGUCCGGAAUUAUUGGGCGUAAAGAGCGCGUAGGCGGGAUAGUCAGUCUGUUGUAAAGUGCGGGGCUCAACCCCGUGAUCGCAAUGGAAACAGCUAUUCUUGAGUGCAGGAGAGGAAAGUGGAAUUCCCAGUGUAGCGGUGAAAUGCGUAGAUAUUGGGAGGAACACCAGUGGCGAAGGCGACUUUCUGGACUGUGUCUGACGCUGAGGCGCGAAAGCCAGGGGGAGCGAACGGGGAUUAGAUACCCCCGGUAGUCCUGGCCGUAAACGAUGGGUACUAGGUGUGGGAGGUAUCGACCCCCUUCCGUGCCCGGAGUUAAACGCAAAUAAGUACCCCGCCUGGGGAGUACGGUCGCAAGACUGAAACUCAAAGGAAUUGACGGGGGUCAUAGCUGUUUCCUG